rnacentral:rRNA from 1 species
AUUGAACGCUGGCGGCAUGCCUUACACAUGCAAGUCGAACGGCAGCGGGGGAGAAGCUUGCUUUUCCUGCCGGCGAGUGGCGAACGGGUGAGUAAUACAUCGGAACGUGCCCUGUAGUGGGGGAUAACUAGUCGAAAGAUUAGCUAAUACCGCAUACGACCUGAGGGUGAAAGUGGGGGACCGCAAGGCCUCAUGCUAUAGGAGCGGCCGAUGUCUGAUUAGCUAGUUGGUGGGGUAAAGGCCUACCAAGGCGACGAUCAGUAGCUGGUCUGAGAGGACGAUCAGCCACACUGGGACUGAGACACGGCCCAGACUCCUACGGGAGGCAGCAGUGGGGAAUUUUGGACAAUGGGCGAAAGCCUGAUCCAGUAAUGCCGCGUGUGUGAAGAAGGCCCUCGGGUUGUAAAGCACUUUUGUCCGGAAAGAAAUGGCUCUGGUUAAUACCUGGGGUCGAUGACGGUACCGGAAGAAUAAGGACCGGCUAACUACGUGCCAGCCGCCGCGGUAA